AGGUAAAAAAUCGGCGUGGUUAGCAGAACGAGUUGGAAAGCUCAGCCGGAGACUGUGAUAGCCAGGUAUGCGAAAACGACGCUGACCUUAUUCUGUAUUCUCGAGUAGGUCGGGGCACGAGAAACCCUGAUUGAAUCCGGCUGGACCACCAGCCAAGGCUAAAUAUAGUAUAUGAUCGAUAGUGAACUAGUACGGUGACGGAAAGGUGAAAAGAACCCCGGGAGGGGAGUGAAAUAGAACCUGAAAUUUUGUGCCUACAAGGAGUCGGAGCCCAGCACCUUUGAAAUCGAGUGGUACAAUGUAGGCGGAUGUUCUACGUGUACGUUUUGCAAAGUGAUCGGGAAUCAGAUCAAAUUUACUUCGGUCAGACCAGUGACUUAAGACGACGUCUCUCGGAGCAUAAUUCUGGCAAGGAUACUUAUACCAAGAUAUAUGCGCCAUGGAAGGUUGUCUAUUAUGAAGCCUAUUCAUCACGUAAGCUGGCAUUAGCUCGUGAGAGGCAGUUGAAAGCUUAUGGACAAGCCAGGACUGCUCUGAAGAAGAGACUAAAUUUGAUCUGAUACUCGAUUUCAAAGGUGCUGGGUGACGGCGUGCUUUUUGUAGAACGAUCCAGCGAGUUAAUUUUUACGGCGAGGUUAAGUCAGAUGAUGAAGCCAUAGUGAAAGCGAGCAUUAACAGUGCGAUUUAGUCGUAAGGAUUAGACCCGAAACCAGGUGACCUAACCAUGAGCAGGUUGAAGCAACCUUAAUCGGUUGUGGAGGACCGAACCAGUGUAUAUUGCAAAAUGCUUGGAUGACUUGUGGUUAGCGGUGAAAUGCCAAUCGAACUUGGAGAUAGCUGGUUCUCCGCGAAAUAGUUAUAGGACUAGCGUCGUGUGAUAGCUUACGGGGGUAGAGCUCUGUCAAGAGAUAGGGGGAGCAAUCCUACCUACUCUUAAUAAACUACGAAUACCGUAUGUCUGUAUCACGGCAGUUAGAACGUCGGUGCUAAGAUCGGCGCUCAAAAGGGAAACAGCCCAGACCAUCAUCUAAGGUCCCCAAAUUUACGCUAAGUGGGAAACAAGGUGGAAUUUCUUAAACAGCUAGGAUGUUGGCUUAGAAGCAGCCAUUCAUUUAAAGAGUGCGUAACAGCUCACUAGUCAAGAGAUUCUGCGUGGAAGAUAUAACGGGGCUAAGCGUAAUACCGAAGAUAUGGAUUGCAAUUUAUUGCAGUGGUAGCGGAGCGUUCCUAUCGGCAGUGAAGCCGGACUGUUAAGUACCGGUGGAGCGUUAGGAAGUGAGAAUGCUGGAACGAGUAACCAUAAGACAGGUGAGAAUCCUGUCGGCCGAAAGAGCGAGGUUUCCUGGGCUAUGGUAAUCAUCCCAGGGUUAGUCGGGCCUAAGCCGAGGCGUUUAGCGUAGGCGAUGGACAUCAGGUUAAUAUUCCUGAACUAGUCAAACUUUGUAUGCAGUUAGCGAUGAGAUAGGUGGAGCGGAUUCAUGGUUUAUCCGUUCAAGUGAUAGAGGAAUCUUGAUCGAGUAAAAGUGAACCUACGGGUUUACGAUUCCGCUGAAGGCAUUGACCAGAAAAGCUGGCAUACGCAUGGGUUUGGCUACCCGUACCGCAAACCGACACAGGUGCUCGAGUCGAGGAGACUAAGGCUUACGAGAGAAUGAUUGCUAAGGAACUCGGCAAUACAGCGACCGUAACUUCGGAAUAAGGUCUGCCUACAUUUGUAGGCCGCAGCUAAAGAGCCCACGGAACUGUUUAUCAAAAACUCAGGUCUCUGCUAACACGAAAGUGGAUGUAUAGGGGCUGAAACCUGCCCGGUGCCGGAAGGUUAAGGGGAUUGCUUCACGGUGAGAACUGAAGCCCCGGUGAACGGCGGCGGUAACUAUAACCGUCCUAAGGUAGCGAAAUUCCUUGUCAGGUAAGUUCUGACCCGCACGAAUGGAGUAAUCAUGUGGGCACUGUCUCAGCGAAGGACUCGGUGAAAGUGCAUUGGCGGUAAAGAUGCCGUCUGUCCAUACCAGGACGAGAAGACCCCAUGGAGCUUUACUACAGCUUUACAUUGAAUACGGUUUCAACAUGUGUAGCAUAGGUGGGAGACUUUGAAGCAGAUACGCCAGUAUUUGUGGAGUCACCAAGUGAAAUACCACCCUUGUUGUGAUUGUGUUCUCACGCUGACCGUUAUCCGGUUAGCGGACCGUGUAUGGUGGGUAGUUUAACUGGGGCGGUUGCCUCCUAAAGAGUAGCGGAGGCGUUCAAAGGU
rnacentral:rRNA from 1 species